rnacentral:tRNA from 1 species
GUCGGGAUAGCCAAGUCUGGUCUAAGGCGCUGGUUUGCUAAACCAGUGUCCCUUUGGGACGCGAGGGUUCAAAUCCCUCUCCCGGCG